rfam:Dyella thiooxydans strain ATSB10, complete genome.
GGACGCAAGGGAGAUGGCAUGCCUCCCCGAACCGCCGCAAGGCUGAUGAUGCCUGGUCGAAC